rnacentral:misc_RNA from 1 species
GGGGACUACUAGGGUUUCUAAUCCUGUUCGCUACCCAUGCUUUCGCUCCUCAGCGUCAGUUACUGCCCAGAGACCUGCCUUCGCCAUCGGUGUUCCUCCUGAUAUCUGCGCAUUUCACCGCUACACCAGGAAUUCCAGUCUCCCCUACAGCACUCAAGUUAUGCCCGUAUCGCCUGCACGCCCGGAGUUAAGCCCCGGAAUUUCACAGACGACGCGACAAACCACCUACGAGCUCUUUACGCCCAGUAAUUCCGGACAACGCUUGCACCCUACGUAUUACCGCGGCUGCUGGCACG